UAAUUACAGAAUUAUUUUAUUGACAACCCCAGCUUUUCAAAUGUCAAGUGUCAAUGUCAGAAUCAAAUUAACGUCACAUUUGAAAAAUUCGCGCGAUUUUCACACAGUAGAGACAUAAAUCUGCAAAGUUUCUUCAAAAAAGAUUCUGAUCAUGUCUUUUAAAAGACGGAAAAUUAAUGAUAAAGCUCUUGAAAAUAUGUUAGAAAAUCUUUCUGAUUUAUCGGACAUCGAUACUUGUUGUUUUAAGCUAUUUCAUUUAAGUGAAUAAAUAUUUUGUUAAUUAUAUAUCGUUAAAAAAAGUA